ACCAAAUAAUAACUUUUCUCCAGAGACCACAAGUUAAUCAAGCCCCGUGACAGACUGUGUGCUGGGCACAGGACUGCGGGUGGGGUGCUUUCAGCUACCGUGCCCUGACUCUGGAGAAGCCUCUUCCCUCUGGGGUCCUUGCUGCCGUCGCCACCCCCAUGCGCUCGUCUCAGAUGCAAGCCCCACCCCUCUCGGUCCUCCUGGGUGUCACCCUCAGCACACGCUUGUGUUGUCCCCAUGCACAUUUGUUAACCACUUCCUCAUAGUUUUUUACCCUCCAAUGAACGCCCAGGGCCCUGAUGCACUCUGCGUCUGAACUGGGAAAUCAGUGAAGCCGGUCUUCACUGAAAGGCAGACACAGGAAGGAGGGCCUGCCAGGUGCCAACCGGCCAAGGACCUGGGAGACCCCUGUGAGCUCCAGAAGCUGGGAGAGGUGGAAGGACGCUCUCCAGGGCCUUCAGAGGGGGCACAACCCUGCUGAAACCUUCAGUUUGGGCCUCUGGCCUCCAGAAUGAUUCAGCGACUUCACAUUGGGAAUGGGAGUGGUCUGCUCGGGCCGCCACAGUGAAGUGCCACAGACCUGGUGGCUUAAACAACAGGAAUUUCUGUCAGUUCUGGAGUCCGGGAAGUCCAAGAUCAAGGUGCCGGCAAGGAUUGCCCUGAAAAGGAAAGGUAGCAGACAAGACAGGUCCUCAAAGUCCACGUCCUUGCCCCAGGGCAGUGGUUCUCAAACUUCAACAGCUUGGAGUGGGGCCUGAGACUUUUCCUUUUUACGAGUUCCCACUUGUGGCUGGUCUGCACUGUGAUAUGAGGUACGUGUGUGUGUACCUGUAGUAGGUAUAUAUUUAACUUUUUAAGGAAUGGUGCAAAUAAUUGCACCUCUGUACAUUCCCACCAGCAGUGUAGGACAUUUCCAGUGGCUUCACUUCCUUGCCAACACUCAGAAUGGCUGGUCUUUCAAUUUGAGCCAUUUAACAGAUAUACAAUGUGAUCUCCCUGUGGUUUUCAUUCACAUUUCCCUAAUGACUAAUGCUGUUACACAUCUUUUCAUGUGGUUGUGAACUGUAUGUCUUUCUUUGACAAAGUAUCUCUUCAAAUCUUUAGCUCCUAUUUUCAACUGGGAUUUUUUUCCCACAAAUUUUGAGGGUUCUUUGUAUAUUUGGGAUACAAAUCCUUUGUCAGUUAUGUGAUUUGCCAAUAUUGUCUCCCUGUCUGUAGCUUCUGUUUUCAUUUUCUUGAUGGUAUCUUUUGAAGAACAGAUUUCAUUUUGAGGGACUCCAAUUUGUCAUAUUUUCUUUAAU